rnacentral:lncRNA from 1 species
UUUUUUGCAUGAACCCCCUGAGGGGUUCAUGCUUAUAUAUUGGCGAGUUUUGGAUGUGUCUAUGGGCCACUCGAUAUCUCUCGGCCGGAAGUCAGAAUAAAAUUCUCGGAACGUCUCGAAAGUUUUCUGUCAUUUAUACAGGUCUUAACAGGUUGUUAUCUACGUCUUUGAUAUGGUCCCUUGAUGGCCCUUGACGACGCA